GAUGAACGCUGGCGGCGUGCCUAAUACAUGCAAGUCGAGCGGACGGACGAGAAGCUUGCUUCUCGGAUGUUAGCGGCGGACGGGUGAGUAACACGUGGAUAACCUACCUAUAAGACUGUGAUAACUUCGGGAAACCGUAGCUAAUACCGGAUAAUAUUUUGAACCGCAUGGUUCAAAAGUGAAAGACGGUCUUGCUGUCACUUAUAGAUGGAUCCGCGCUGCAUUAGCUAGUUGGUAAGGUAACGGCUUACCAAGGCAACGAUGCAUAGCCGACCUGAGAGGACGAUCGGCCACACUGGAACUGAGACACGGUCCAGACUCCUACGGGAGGCAGCAGUAGGGAAUUUUCCGCAAUGGGCGAAAGCCUGACGGAGCAACGCCGCGUGAGUGAUGAAGGUCUUCGGAUCGUAAAACUCUGUUAUUAGGGAAGAACAUAUGUGUAAGUAACUGUGCACCUAUUGACGGUACCUAAUCAGAAAGCCCCGGCUAACUACGUG
rnacentral:rRNA from 1 species